rnacentral:rRNA from 1 species
CCUACGGGAGGCAGCAGUGGGGAAUAUUGCGCAAUGGGCGAAAGCCUGACGCAGCGACGCCGCGUGAGGGAUGAAGGUCUUCGGAUCGUAAACCUCUGUCAGCAGGGAAGAAAGGUCACUGUGCUAAUCAGCAGUGCAUUGCCGGUACCUGCAAAGGAAGCACCGGCUAACUCCGUGCCAGCAGCUGCGGUAAUACGGAGGGUGCGAGCGUUAAUCGGAAUUACUGGGCGUAAAGCGCUCGUAGGCGGUAUGUCAAGUCAAGGGUGAAAUCCCCGCGCUCAACGUGGGAACUGCCUUUGAAACUGGCAAACUGGAGUGUGGGAGAGGAUAGUGGAAUUCCAGGUGUAGGAGUGAAAUCCGUAGAUAUCUGGAGGAACAUCAGUGGCGAAGGCGACUAUCUGGCACAUAACUGACGCUGAGGAGCGAAAGCGUGGGUAGCAAACAGGAUUAGAUACCCCUGUAGUC